AUAUGAACAACGCAAAAACCAACGUUCCUGCAAAAGCGUUCCUACGAGUUCACUCUAAGGUGAUCCAUGAUGUACGGAAAUCGUCUAUUGGAAUGGAGAUUGAACAACAACGGUCGAUCUUGGGUGCAGUGUCCGUCGCGUCCUUUUGGAUAUGACUGAGAGUGCAAUGAUUGACCACACAG
rnacentral:sRNA from 1 species